UACGAAGGGUGCAAGCGUUACUCGGAAUUACUGGGCGUAAAGCGCGCGUAGGCGGUUCGUUAAGUCUGUCGUGAAAGCCCUGGGCUCAACCUGGGAAUUGCGAUGGAUACUGGCGAGCUAGAGUACGCUAGAGGAUGGUGGAAUUCCCGGUGUAGCGGUGAAAUGCGUAGAGAUCGGGAGGAACACCCGUGGCGAAGGCGGCCAUCUGGACCAGUACUGACGCUGAGGCACGAAAGCGUGGGGAGCAAACAGG
rnacentral:rRNA from 1 species